UACGGAGGGGGCUAGCGUUGUUCGGAAUUACUGGGCGUAAAGCGCGCGUAGGCGGCUUUGUAAGUUAGAGGUGAAAGCCCAGGGCUUAACCCUGGAAUUGCCUUUAAGACUGCAUCGCUAGAAUCGUGGAGAGGUGAGUGGAAUUCCGAGUGUAGAGGUGAAAUUCGUAGAUAUCAGGAGGAACACCGGUGGCGAAGGCGGGACUCUGGGCCGAUACUGACGCUGAGGAGCGAAAGCGUGGGGAGCAAACAGG
rnacentral:rRNA from 1 species